UGGUUGCAAUGUGCUCUCCUCUUGCAUUAGGCCACAAGCCAUCCCCUGAAAAAUGCGUCCUGGCUGAGAGUGCCAUUCCCCAAUCUCAGGCAUCUCGAGCCAUAUGCAUCGAAUUAAAACCAAAUGCACAACAUAAAUCUCCCUGCCAUUCCUCGGAAAGGUUUCACAUGACAAGCACAUUCCUGUGACACUUUCCAUCUUCUGUUUUACCGCACAGGCUAACAGCUGUUUCCAAAACAAACCCGGAGUGAGGAACACACAAAAUCCUCACUCUUUGGACAAACUUGCUGUUAUUGCACCGGGGUGGUGCGUGUGAGUGGAUGCUCUGUGUCUGUUGGGCUUCCACUGCGACUGGCUCUGCACCGCUCACGUGCAGGCCUGGGGCCUCGGUGGGGCUGUGCCAUCAUUCUUUGGGGUUUUUCCCCCACAGAAGCAUGUUGGGAAGCCAAGCAGAAUAUGGUUUUAGAGAGGUGACUUGUUUUGCACAGUAAGCCUUAUCCUACCUUAAACGUUUCCAGGCUGAGAGGGAAAUUAAUGAAGACUCUCACUAAUGCAGACUCCUUCUCGCUGUUGUCAUCUUUGGUGUACUUGGAGUUGGCAGGCCCUUGGCAGCAGGAACUGCCAACCACCACUCCUUGUGUGUCUCCCACCCACUCUGCAGCCUGCCCCAAGGAGGGUUUGCUCACCAGCUCGCCGUGGUACCAGCUCUCAAACUCCCACAUCCACCUUUCCCAGUGCACAGGGCAAGUUCCGACAGCGAUUCCCUCUCUGGGAGGAUGUUUACCUUCCACAGCCGCCUUUCCCUUACAGUUAAACAGGAAUGUUUCCUUUUCUAAACAGUUUACAUUUCUGAUUCCAGAGGUAUCCAGCUUGCCAAAGCCACCAGUAUUUGUCUCACUUUAAAUACAUUUAUAUGCUAAUGCAGGCGGCCUCUCCUGCUUGCACCCGCACCACACACAGCUGUAUGGGAAUAUCUCUUUUCUUGCUACAAAAUGGGACCAUCAAACAUCCUUUGGAUUCAUCUCCAUUAAUCAAGAUCUGUGCAUGUGCUCGUGCAAUACAGACAUUCCUGUGAUAAACCAGAUGCGCACACCUCUGCAUCGGCUGUCCAGACUUGACAGAUCGGUGCCACGUUUGGAGGAGGAGGAGGAGGAGAGGGGAGGAAGGAAAUGUAAUUUCGAGGAUACAGUUCUGUGUAUGCCUGGGCAGCAUUUCUCCCCUUUUUUUUAUUGCCUUUGGGAUCAUCUUACAACAUUCUCUGUCCAAAGACUUGGGAGCACUUCACAGAUAUUACCUGAUUACAAUCUGCAGAGGUAUGAAGUGCUUUUCCCAAGGUCAAUCAGCCACUCAUGGCAGAGUUUGUAUAAUCAGCCUGCGGAGCCAUCAGUGUAGAAAAGACUCAUCUCCUUUUCCUGGGGGAAGCGAGGGGAUGCUCUCAUCACAUCCAGACCUUUUCUGCAGAGGGGAAGGGAAGCAGCAGCUGCUUCUCCUGCAGAUGCUGGGGAGCUCAGGGGCUCUCUGAGAACCCCUCAAGGGCCAAGGUACCACUGAUGAGCAUCAGUGAGCAUCCUGGUGAGGAUGGCACCGGUGAGAGCAGGUUUGCUGUUGGUCCAGGAUUUUUCUCUCACUUCUCUAUUGCCCGUUGUGCCCUGUCUGUUCUCUGCUGCCCCUUUUUGUGUUCCACACGACUCCCAUUUCCUCACUCCUGUCAAGAGAACUGGAAAACACCAACAGCCCUGUGCUUUGUUAGACAGUGCUUGAGAACAGUGAUGAAACCUGCUUAGAUGGAUGUACCUGAAAUGCUUUUCCAUUGAAAACUGAUGAUUCAGUGACAUAAAAUGUUCUGUGCUAACA